CAAAGGCUUGGUCCUGACUUUACUGUCAGCUUUGACUAAAUUUACACAUGCAAGCAUCCGCACCCCAGUGAGAACGCCCACAGUUUUCCUUCCGAAAACAAGGAGCCGGUAUCAGGCACAAUAAAAAUUAGCCCAUUACACCUUGCUUAGCCACGCCCUCAAGGGAAUUCAGCAGUGAUAAACAUUAAGCAAUAAGUGAAAACUUGACUUAGUUAUAAGCAUAUAAGAGCCGGUAAAACUCGUGCCAGCCACCGCGGUUAUACGAGGGGCUCAAGUUGACAGCUCUACGGCGUAAAGCGUGAUUAAGGAAUAUACAAACUAAAGCCAAACGUUUUCACAGCUGUUAUACGCAUUUGAAAGCAUGAAGAACUCUUACGAAAGUAGCUUUAACACACCCUGAAUACACGAAAACUGUGGAACAAACUGGGAUUAGAUACCCCACUAUGCACAGCUGUAAACUUUGAUAAGACUUUACUUCUUAUCCGCCAGGGAACUACGAGCAUAAGCUUAAAACCCAAAAGACUUGGCGGUGCUUUAGACCCACCUAGAGGAGCCUGUUCUAGAACCGAUAACCCCCGUUAAACCUCACCCUUUCUUGUCAUUUCCGCCUAUAUACCGCCGUCGUCAGCUUACCCUAUGAAGGAAACACAGUAAACGUAAUCGGUUUAACCUAAAACGUCAGGUCGAGGUGUAGCGAAUGAAAGGGAAAGAAAUGGGCUACAUUUCCUAACACAGGAAACCUACGGAAACAUAUAAUGAAACAAUAUUUUAAGGAGGAUUUAGCAGUAAAUAGAAAAUAGAGAGUUCUAUUGAAAUUGGCCCUGAAGUGCGCACACACCGCCCGUCACUCUCCCCGAGCCUAGCACUACUACUAAUUAAUACCCUUAUUCUGGUAAAGGGGAGGCAAGUCGUAACAUGGUAAGUGUACCGGAAGGUGCACUUGGAAAAAU
rnacentral:ncRNA from 1 species